UACAGAGGGUGCUAGCGUUGUUCGGAAUCAUUGGGCGUAAAGGGCGUGUAGGCGGUUUGUUAAGUCAUGUGUGAAAUCCCUCGGCUCAACCGGGGAACGACGCAUGAAACUGGCAAGCUAGAGUACCAAAGAGGCAAGUGGAAUUCCCGGUGUAGCGGUGAAAUGCGCAGAUAUCGGGAGGAACACCUAUGGCGAAGGCAGCUUGCUGGGACGGUACUGACGCUGAGACGCGAAAGCGUGGGGAGCAAACAGG
rnacentral:rRNA from 1 species